GAUCCUGGUUCAGAGUGAACGCUGGCGGCGUGCCUAAUACAUGCAAGUCGAACGGAGAUUAAAUAGCUUGCUAUUUAAUCUUAGUGGCGCACGGGUGAGUAAUGUAUAGUUAAUCUGCCCCAUGGUGGAGGGACAACAGUUAGAAAUGACUGCUAAUACUCCAUACUCCUUCUUAUCAUAAGUUAAAGUUCGGGGAAAGGUUUUUCGUCUAUGGGGAGUGAGGACUAUAUCGUAUCAGCUAGUUGGG
rnacentral:rRNA from 1 species